rnacentral:sRNA from 1 species
CUGACAGCACUGAAACCUUCCACUAACCCAUAGAAAAGGGAGAGCUGUGAAAGCGUCCCCCCACUGCUACACCAGUGUGCCUAAUCCCUGGCCUGGAGGGACCCCCUCUGUGGGUCAGAGGGGGGUUCAGUCUCUAUUGCCCAUUCAGCCCUUGGCACUG